UUUCGUUCUUCCUGACUGCCAGAGGCAGUGUUUAACACUGGAUGUUAUCCAUCUCGCGCACGCGCAGGUCGAGUAUUUAAUAUCAACAAAGUCACAUGUGACCUGGGAUGACGUAGUUUAUAUAAGCCCACGUCAUCAUCAGAGAUGUCCCCUUGAAUCUUCUCGCGGCAGGUAAUCCGCGAAUGCAGGUUGAUUAAAGAGAUAAGCCGUUGACUUUUCGCUGGAAGCCCUGCAACCGCAUGGUUGGAGCUACGGUUUCGUCCUCCAAGGGCUGCGAUUAGUUAAUCACGGCUACACUCUAACACUUUAGACGCUGUAACACCGGUGUUUUCGCCGGUUCAAUUCAGCGAGGCUAACGACAGGUGAGCUAGGAUAACAAGGUGAUUGUGGUGGUGACCGAUGCUUCGCCCUCCGGCUGGGGGGC